GGCACUGCUGCGGUUGCCUAGUGGUUAGAACGUCCGCCUCGGAUACGGGAGGUCACUGGUUCGAACCCCGAUUGAGUCA